rnacentral:rRNA from 1 species
GAUCUUAGACAAUGGGGGCAACCCUGAGCUAGCCAUGCCGCGUGAGGGAUGAUGGCCUUAUGGUUGUAAAUCUCUUUUAGCUGUGAAGAUAUUGACGGUAGCAGCAGAAGAAGUCCCGGCUAACGCCGAGCCAGCUGCCGGGGUAAUACGGAGGGGACUAGCGGUGUUCGGAAUUACUGGGCGUAAAGCGCACGUAGGCGGAUCGGAAAGUUGGGGGUUAAAUCCCGGGGCUCAACCCCGGAACUGCCUUCAAAACUAUCGGUCUGGAGUUCGAGAGAGGUGAGUGGAAUUCCGAGUGUAGAGGUGAAAUUCGUAGAUAUUCGGAGGAACACCAGUGGCGAAGGCGGCUCACUGGCUCGAUACUGACGCUGAGGCGCGAAAGCGUGGGGAGCAAACA